UACGGAGGGGGCAAGCGUUGUUCGGAAUCAUUGGGCGUAAAGGGCGCGUAGGCGGCCAGCCAAGUCGGGUGUGAAAUCCCUCGGCUCAACCGAGGAACUGCAUUCGAUACUGGCAGGCUAGAGUCCGGGAGGGGAUGGCGGAAUUCCCGGUGUAGCGGUGAAAUGCGUAGAUAUUGGGAAGAACACCGGUGGCGAAGGCGGCCAUCUGGACCGGAACUGACGCUGAGGCGCGAAAGCGUGGGGAGCAAACAGG
rnacentral:rRNA from 1 species